rnacentral:rRNA from 1 species
CCUACGGGAGGCAGCAGUGAGGAAUAUUGGUCAAUGGACGAGAGUCUGAACCAGCCAAGUAGCGUGAAGGAUGACUGCCCUAUGGGUUGUAAACUUCUUUUAUAUGGGAAUAAAAUGUUCCACGUGUGGGUUUUUGUAUGUACCAUAUGAAUAAGGAUCGGCUAACUCCGUGCCAGCAGCCGCGGUAAUACGGAGGAUCCGAGCGUUAUCCGGAUUUAUUGGGUUUAAAGGGAGCGUAGGUGGAUUGUUAAGUCAGUUGUGAAAGUUUGCGGCUCAACCGUAAAAUUGCAGUUGAUACUGGCAGUCUUGAGUACAGUAGAGGUGGGCGGAAUUCGUGGUGUAGCGGUGAAAUGCUUAGAUAUCACGAAGAACUCCGAUUGCGAAGGCAGCUCACUGGACUGCAACUGACACUGAGGCUCGAAAGUGUGGGUAUCAAACAGGAUUAGAUACCCCAGUAGUC